rnacentral:tRNA from 4 species
CGGAAUAUAGCGCAGCCUGGUAGCGCGCACCCUUGGGGUGGGUGAGGUCGUGGGUUCGAAUCCCGCUAUUCCGACCA